rnacentral:rRNA from 1 species
GGGCACCUGAUCAUUCAUUCCGCGUGAGUGAAGAAGGCCUUCGGGUUGUAAAGCUCUUUCGCAAGGGAAGAAACGAUACAGUCUAAUAAACUGUGUUAAUGACGGUACCUUGAUAAGAAGCACCGGCUAACUACGUGCCAGCAGCCGCGGUAAUACGUAGGGUGCGAGCGUUAAUCGGAAUUACUGGGCGUAAAGCGUGCGCAGGCGGUUUUGAAAGUCAGAUGUGAAAUCCCCGGGCUCAACCUGGGAACUGCGUUUGAAACUCCAAAGCUAGAGUAUGGGAGAGGGGGGUAGAAUUCCACGUGUAGCAGUGAAAUGCGUAGAGAUGUGGAGGAAUACCAAUGGCGAAGGCAGCCCCCUGGCUUAAUACUGACGCUCAUGCACGAAAGCGUGGGGAGCAAACAGGAUUAGAUACCCUGGUAGUCCACGCCCUAAACGAUGUCUACUAGUUGUUGGGAGAGUAAAAUCUCUUAGUAACGCAGCUAACGCGUGAAGUAGACCGCCUGGGGAGUACGGUCCGCAAGAUUAAAACUCAAAGGAAUUGACGGGGGCCCGGACAGCGGUGGAUUAUGUGGAUUCAUUCGAUGCAACGCGAAAAAACU